CCUACGGGGGGCAGCAGUGAGGAAUAUUGGUCAAUGGGCGCGAGCCUGAACCAGCCAAGUAGCGUGAAGGAUGAAUGCCCUACGGGUUGUAAACUUCUUUUAUAAAGGAAUAAAGUGAGGAGCGUGUGCCUUUUUGGAUGUACUUUAUGAAUAAGGAUAGGCUAACUCCGUGCCAGCAGCCGCGGUAAUACGGAGGAUCCGAGCGUUAUCCGGAUUUAUUGGGUUUAAAGGGAGCGUAGAUGGUUUGUUAAGUCAGGUGUGAAAGUUUGCGGCUCAACCGUAAAAGUGCAUUUGAUACGGGCAGCCUUGAGUACAGUUGAGGUAGGCGGAAUGCGUGGUGUAGCGGUGAAAUGCUUAGA
rnacentral:rRNA from 1 species